CUUAACGUCCAUGCCUAGAGAGAGGGAAGAUCCCGGGCGCAAAAAAAUGCAGAAAGCUGACCUUGCCCGCAAGUCAAAUAGUUCUGCACCCCUCCCCCUAGCUUCCCAGGGAGCCGGUUCACGCCAUCCCAAUUGGUCAGUCUGCCUGUUCCAGCACCUGCCUGGCAGUGACAAGGGAAUCUCCACGGAGGACGAGAGGGUCUGAAAGGAGGCGGCCUCGGAAACGCUGAGGCCCACGAGGAAAGGAUGAGAAGAAGAAAAAGAGGAGAGAACCUUCGGAGGGAUGAGGCCGAGCGGUCAGAGGCUAACGGGGACCUGGCUUGGGAGGACGACUGGGGGACAGGAGACGGAGGUCUUAGGAGGGCUCAGGAAGACUUCUUCUUCCUGCCAAGCCUGCUCUGGUGGAACGGAAAAGUCCAGCAGUUUGAUUCAGGGUAAAUAUUUUAUCUUGCCUUUUAAUGCUCGUGUUCUUGGUUCAUUGUUCAAACAUCCAUGUCCUCUGCAUAGUCACAUGGAUCAAUCUCUAGAGGACACAGAUUCUGUUUGCUUGAUUUGGCAGCAAGACACAUCACUCAGCACAAUUACUUAUUAAAAGGCGUUUGAUUAAAACUAACCGUGUUGAAAGUUUUCCAGACAAGAUCCUCAUCUGCUGAUAAGGUGACAUCUAGUUUUCUUUUUAAUUUUCUCGAGCUCCUUUCAGAUACAAAUUGUAAAACAAAUACCCUCAAUGAAGAAAGAAUUGAUAUUGAGAAGGCUCUCAGACCAUCCCCCCUCCAGCUGGCCUGAAUUCCCCAUGGAAUGGUGAAGAGCAUGGGCUCUGGAGUCUCCAUUUCAUCUCCAAUACUUUGCUUGCUGUGCAACAUUGGGCAAGUUACAUGGCCCCUCUGAAAAACGUAAACCUCAUCUGCAAAAUGGAGCUAUCUCAUAGGACUCUUUUGAGAACUAAAUAAAAUAAUACAGGUAAAGCAUUUGUCACAUUGCUUAACACAUAGUUCAUGCUAACAAAUCACCCUUAACAGCUGCAUUCUUAAAUUUGGAAUUCACUUGCUGACUUGCAUUAUCUUUCCAAGGGCAAAGUGGUUAGCCUGCCCACCCAAAUUGUAAACUCUGAAAGGCAAAAUGAAUUCAAUACAAUUUUUAAUCACUGUAGAGACAUUAAAAUUUCUGCUGACUUAUUAUAUA